CCCUUAUCACUUUUCCAGCCCAGCUUUCUAACUCGAAGUGUUGGACGGAGAACUGAUAAGGGU
rnacentral:pre_miRNA from 1 species